AUUGAACGCUAGCGGCAGGCCUAACACAUGCAAGUCGAACGCGUGGCGGACGGGUGAGUAAUGCCCGGGACCCUGGCCGAUGGAGGGGGAUGACUACGCGUAACUGUAGCUAAUACCGCCUACCAUGGGAUGUACCCAAGUGGGAUUAGGUUGUUGGUGGGGUAAAGGCUCACCACGGCGACGAUCCGUAGCUGGUUUGAGAGGAUGACCAGCCACACUGGGACUGAGACACGGCCCAGACUCCGACGGGAGGCAGCAGUGGGGAAUUUUGGGCAAUGGGGGCAACCCUGACGCAGCCAUGCCGCGUGAAUGAAGAAGGCCUUCGGGUUGUAAAGUACUUUCGGCAGCGAGGCGUUACCUGCAGAAUAAGCACCGGCUAACUCCGUGCCAGCAGCCGCGGUAAUAC
rnacentral:rRNA from 1 species